UCUUUCAAAGGUUGUGUCGGCAAAGAUCAUGUAUUACCAUUAUUAAAUUCUCUUCUUCUAACAGUUGAUCGCCUCAUCAAUUCCUUCCAUAGAAUUCAUGUCUUCAUCGUCGAAACUCCAACGGAGGUACGAUGUGCUAAUCAACUUUAAUGGAGAAGACAUCCACAGGAAAUUUGUUUCUCAUCUCGAUUCAGCCCUCUCUACUGUUGGCUUCACCACCUUCCUUCACGAGGAGAACACAAUGAAGGGAAUGAACAUCCAAGAACCUAUUCUCAAUCUCUGUCGGGUAGCAAUAGUUGUUUUCACCAAAACAUAUUCUCAAUCUUCUUGGUGUCUUAAUCAGCUUCAACAAAUCAUUAAAUGGAACGAAACUUAUUGUCGACAUGUUCUGCCCGUAUAUUACGAAAUCCAGCCAUCUGAUGUGCGUCUUCAAAAGGGUGAUUUUGGAAAAGCCCUGGAGGUAACUGCACAACAAACAUUUUCCGGACACCACCAGGAGCGUGGCAUGUCCAAGUGGAGCCAAGCACUCACCAAAGCUGCAAAUUUCUUUGGAUGGGAUGAGAGCAAUCACAGGAGCGAUGCUGAACUAGUUGAGAAAAUCGUUAAGAGCGUUCUUAAUUUACCAAUCUUGUCUGCUACUAAAUUUCCAGUCGGAUUACAUUCCCGCGUGGAAAAAGUGAUCGGAACUAUCAAAAAUAAUUCCACCAAAGUUUGUAUAAUAGGGAUAUGUGGAGAGGGAGGAUCUGGUAAAACCACCCUUGCCAGAGCCAUCUACCAUCAAAUUCAGCUUAGAUUCACGGAGAAAAGUUUCAUUGAAGAUAUUGGACAAGUUGGCGGAAUAAAAGGGGAUCUUCGUUUACGAGAACAACUUCUUCUAGAUAUCCUAAAAACAAAGGUGGAGAUACCUAGUGUUGAUAUGGGAAGAAGUAUGAUUCGGGAAAGACUAUCUGGGAAAAGGAUGCUCAUUGUACUUGACGACGUUCCUUACUGUAGUAUAUUAUUAGACCUAUGGGAUCGAUUUAAAUGGUUGGGUGGAGGAACUGUAGUAAUCAUUACAACAAGAGAUGAAAGCAUCCUGACGAUACCUCAAGGUUAUUCUGUUUUUCGAACAAAGCUAAUGAAUGCAAAGGAGUCCCUUGAGCUUCUUAGUUGGCACGCAUUUAGGGAAGCAAAACCAAAAGAAGAAUACUAUGGCCUUGCGAAAAGAGUAGUUCAUAAUUGUGGAGGACUACCUCUAGCACUUGAAGUCAUUGGAAGUACUUUAUUUGAAAGGACAAAAUACAUAUGGCAUAGUGUACUGUUUAAAUUAGAGAAAAUUCCCCGAUACAAUGUUAUUGAGAAACUGAAAAUAAGCUUCGACAGUUUAAGCAAUCAGAUGGAAAGAUAUAUAUUCCUUGAUGUAUGUUGUUUCUUUGUUGGUAAGGGCAUAGCCUAUGCGACGAAGAUCCUAAAUGGCUGUGGAGUAGAGGCUAAUAAUGGAAUAAGAGUUUUGAUUGAGCGUAGCCUUAUAAAAGUUAAGAAGAACAACAAAUGUGGAAUGCAUCCUUUACUACAAGAAAUGGGAAUAACACUUAGUCGUGAAAUUUCACUAAAGGAACCUGGGGAAAACAGGCGACUAUGGUUUCAUAAAGAUGAAAAAUAUGGGACAAAAGCCAUGCACUGGUUGCCAUUGAAUCAAGAUCAAGUACAACUGGCUGUAAAUUCUGAGUACCUUUUCCAGAAACUGAGAUGGAUCAGUUUGCAUGGGUUUUCUUCAGAAUACCUACACAACAAAUUUUAUGUGCAUGAUGCAAUAGCGAUUGAUUUGAAACACAGUCUUCUUCGACUCGUUUGGAAAGAACCCCAGGUUUUGAGGUCGCUAAAAGUCCUUAACCUCAGUCACUGCAAGUACUUAACAACAACUCCUGACUUUACGGGACUACAAAGUCUUGAACAACUCAUUCUGAAAUGUUGUCCAAGAUUGCGCAAAGUACACCAAUCUAUUGGAUGUCUCGGCAAUCUUUUACUCCUAAAUUUGAAAGACUGUACAAAUCUAAGCAAUCUCCCCAGAGGGAUAUACAAGUUGAAAUCUCUAAAAACUCUCAUUCUCUCUGGUUGUUCAAAGAUUGACCUAAUGGAAAAAGAUACAGCGGAGAUGGAAUCCUUGAUAACUCUGAUCGCUGAAAAUACAGCUGUAAAAGAACUACCUAUUUCUAUUGUAAGCUCAAAAAGCAUUGGAUACAUAUCCCUAGGUCGAUUCGAGAGAUUGUCACCAAAUAUUUUUCCUUCUGUUAUUCGGUCUUGGAUAUCGCCAACAAUGAAUCCCAUAUCUUACAUGCACUCGUUUUGCAUGGAUAUAGAGGACAAUAAUUGGGAUGAUAUUGCACCAUUGCUUAGCACCCUUAGAAAUCUUCGAAGUGUUUUGGUGUAAUGUGACACCGAGUUUCGACUAGCUAAACAAGUAAAAGAUAUUCUGGUUGAAUAUUUUGCUAAUAUUACAGAAUCAGGAAUUUCAAAGCGUCACGUCAAGUCUUCUUUGAUUGGUGUCGGAGGAUACAAUGCAUUAUUCAAUACUGUCAGCCAUAGCAUAUCUGAGGUUUUGACAGGCAGUGAAUCUGGUGAUGUUUCUCUCCUACCUAUUGGUGAUCCUUAUUGGUUGGGUCAUACGGGUGAGGGACAUUCUGUUUCUUUCACUGUGCCUCAAGAUCGUGACAUUAAGGGAAUGAUUCUGUGUGUUUUUUAUUUAUCAAUCCCUAAAAUCAUCGAACCUGAAUUUACUACUGUCUUAAUUGUUAAUUACACAAAGUGUAGAUGCCACAUACACAACCUUGGCACAAUAAUUUCCUUUAAUGAUGAAGAUUGGCAUAGCAUAAUGUCGAAUUUAGGAUCUGGAGAUAAAGUGGAGAUUUUUGUGAAUUUCGGUAAUGGAUUGGUGGUGAAGAAGACAACAGUGUAUCUGAUAUGUGGUGAAUCACAACACUUUGAAAGAAAGUCAGAGCCAAACAAAAAUUCCCUGGUUAGAUUCAUAAAGAAAAUUGUAAGGUGACUUGUCGAAAGUCAUUUAUCUUCUCAUGAGAUGACAUUAGUUAUGGAAUUAACUCUAGUGUCCUUCAUUGCUAUUUGUUUUUUCCCAUCCUUUCCUUUUUUUUCUUUAGAGUAUAUCUUAUAGUUAAGAAGUU